UUUUAAAAUUAUAAGUUUAAAAUUUAAAAAUUUAAAUUCAAUUAUAGAGGUAAUAUUAUUAUUUUCUAUUUAUAAUCAUCAACUAUUUUUCUUAUUCCUAAUAACCAUUCAAACAUAAUUUUUCUAGUUUCAGCUCAUACUCACAUUUUCAUCUAACAAAAAAAAAAUAUCUUUAUUUUUAUAAAAAUUUAUACUUGUAUCUAUUUUUGUAUUUUCUGUAUAACUAGUUUCUAGUAAUUGCUGAACAAAACGAGCCUAGAAAUCU
rnacentral:lncRNA from 1 species